AAAGCGUGCGCAGGCGGCUUUGCAAGACAGAGGUGAAAUCCCCGGGCUCAACCUGGGAACUGCCUUUGUGACUGCAAGGCUAGAGUACGGCAGAGGGAGAUGGAAUUCCGCGUGUAGCAGUGAAAUGCAUAGAUAUGCGGAGGAACACCGAUGGCGAAGGCAAUCUCCUGGGCCUGUACUGACGCUCAUGCACGAAAGCGUGGGGAGCAAACAGGAUUAGAUACCCUUGU
rnacentral:rRNA from 1 species